UACGUAGGGCGCAAGCGUUAUCCGGAAUUAUUGGGCGUAAAGAGCUCGUAGGCGGUUCGGCAAGUCGGAUGUGAAAUCUCCACGCUCAACGUGGAGGGGCCAUUCGGAACUGCCGUGACUCGAGUCCGGUAGGGGAGUGUGGAAUUCCCGGUGUAGCGGUGAAAUGCGUAGAGAUCGGGAGGAACACCAGAGGCGAAGGCGGCGACCUGGACAAUUACUGACACUCAACUACGAAAGCGUGGGGAGCAAACAGG
rnacentral:rRNA from 1 species